GUAGGGAAUAUUGGGCAAUGGAUGCAAGUCUGACCCAGCCAUCCCGCGUGCCGGAAGAAGGCCCUCAGGGUUGUAAACGGCUUUUGACGGUGAAGAAUCGACAGGAUGCGUCCUGUUUUGACGGUAGCCGUUGAAUAAGCACCGGCUAACCCCGUGCCAGCAGCCGCGGUAAUACGGAGGGUGCGAGCGUUGUCCGGAUUUAUUGGGUUUAAAGGGUGCGUAGGCUGGAAGGUCAGUCAGCGGUGAAAAGCUGUCGCUUAACGAUAGUCUUGCCGCAGAUACUUCCUUUCUUGGAUGAGGAGGAGGCCACUGGAACGGAUGGUGUAGCGGUGAAAUGCAUAGAUAUCAUCCAGAACACCGAUUGCGAAGGCAGGUGGCUGUACCUUAAUCGACGCUGAUGCACGAAAGCAUGGGGAGCAAACAGGAUUAGAAACCCGGGUAGUCC
rnacentral:rRNA from 1 species